rnacentral:SRP_RNA from 14 species
GAGCCCAGCGCGGUGGGAACUCCCGAAAUUGGGUCAGAUUGGGAAGGCAG